rnacentral:tRNA from 1 species
UGUCUUGUAGUAUAGGUCUCAUUACUGUAAACUGCAACUUUACCAAAGCUUUUAGCCAAGGCAU